UAGCGAAGAGGUCACACCCGUUCCCAUGCCGAACACGGAAGUUAAGCUCUUCAGCGCCGAUGGUAGUCGGGGGUUUCCCCCUGUGAGAGUAGGACGCCGCCAAGCU
rnacentral:rRNA from 1 species